rnacentral:rRNA from 1 species
CAAGUCGAGGGGCAGCGGGAUUGAAGCUUGCUUCAACUGCCGGCGACCGGCGCACGGGUGAGUAACGCGUAUCCAACCUUCCGUACACUCAGGGAUAGCCUUUCGAAAGAAAGAUUAAUACCUGAUGGUAUGAUGAGAUUGCAUGAUAGCAUCAUUAAAGAUUCAUCGGUGUACGAUGGGGAUGCGUUCCAUUAGGUAGUAGGCGGGGUAACGGCCCACCUAGCCUACGAUGGAUAGGGGUUCUGAGAGGAAGGUCCCCCACAUUGGAACUGAGACACGGUCCAAACUCCUACGGGAGGCAGCAGUGAGGAAUAUUGGUCAAUGGACGAGAGUCUGAACCAGCCAAGUAGCGUGAAGGAUGAAGGUCCUACGGAUUGUAAACUUCUUUUAUAAGGGAAUAAAACCUCCCACGUGUGGGAGCUUGUAUGUACCUUAUGAAUAAGCAUCGGCUAACUCCGUGCCAGCAGCCGCGGUAAUACGGAGGAUGCGAGCGUUAUCCGGAUUUAUUGGGUUUAAAGGGAGCGCAGACGGGUCGUUAAGUCAGCUGUGAAAGUUUGGGGCUCAACCGUAAAAUUGCAGUUGAAACUGCGUGUCUUGAGUACAGUAGAGGUGGGCGGAAUUCGUGGUGUAGCGGUGAAAUGCUUAGAUAUCACGAAGAACUCCGAUUGCGAAGGCAGCUCACUGGACUGCAACUGAC